GCCUGUGUGGUGUAGUGGUUUGAGUGUUGUACUUGAACUUCAGGAGACCAGGGUUCAAAUCCUUACUCAGCCU